UCUUCAAUGGUAUAAUGGUAGAACUCACGCCUGUCAAGCAAGGAAUGCAUUCCUUUGAUUGAAUGGUUCGCGUGCGACCUGGGUUCGAUUCCCAGUUGGAGAG